CCCUUAGAUGUUCUGGGCUGCACGCGCGCUACACUGAAGCUAUCAACACGUUUUCCCUCCCUGAGAAGGGCGGGUAACCUUUUGAAUCAGCUUCGUGGUAGGGAUCGGGGCUUGCAAUUGUUCCCCGUGAACCAGGAAUUCCUAGUAGACGCGAGUCAUAAGCUCGCAUCGAUUAAGUCCCUGCCCUUUGUACACACCGCCCGUCGCUACUACCGAUUGAACGUUUUAGUGAGGCAUUUGGACCGACGCAUCUCAGUUUAACCGCUGGUUUGUGUUGGAAAGACUGCCAAACUUGAGCGUUUAGAGGAAGUAAAAGUCGUAACA
rnacentral:rRNA from 1 species